rnacentral:rRNA from 1 species
CCUACGGGUGGCAGCAGUGGGGAAUAUUGGACAAUGGGGGCAACCCUGAUCCAGCCAUGCCGCGUGUGUGAAGAAGGCCCUCGGGUUGUAAAGCACUUUCAGUGAGGAAGAACGCCUGGUGGUUAAUACCCAACAGGAAAGACAUCACUCACAGAAGAAGCACCGGCUAACUCCGUGCCAGCAGCCGCGGUAAUACGGAGGGUGCGAGCGUUAAUCGGAAUUACUGGGCGUAAAGCGCGCGUAGGUGGCUUGAUAAGCCGGUUGUGAAAGCCCCGGGCUCAACCUGGGAACGGCAUCCGGAACUGUCAAGCUAGAGUGCAGGAGAGGAAGGUAGAAUUCCCGGUGUAGCGGUGAAAUGCGUAGAGAUCGGGAGGAAUACCAGUGGCGAAGGCGGCCUUCUGGACUGACACUGACACUGAGGUGCGAAAGCGUGGGUAGCAAACAGGAUUAGAUACCCGUGUAGUC